rnacentral:lncRNA from 1 species
AGGCAGAGAACAUAACAUAUCACAGUAUACUGUUAUAAUUUUCUAUUUUGUUUUUAGAUAUGUUAGUCUCCUACUGAUUUACUUUAUAUGUUAAACUUUUUCAUAGCUAUAAGAAUAGGAAAAGCAUGGUAUGUAGAAGGUUCAAUAUUACCAUAGUCUCAGGCUGCUAUGAAGCAACAGCUGAAUAUCUCAGAACAAAGAAGGGGUGAUUACUGGAUAACACCUGGGAUGUGGUAGAUAAUUCUUCAAUGUGUCCUAAAUGCAGUUAUCUCUGCAUAGGAGGGAUUGGAAUAAAAAUCAAUAUAGCACUGGAAUGAAAGACAGUAAGGCGAAUGGAGCAACCCAUAUUUAAUCAUCUAAUCUGUAACUUGCCAAUAAAAUCUUCUGAGGUUGUGUGGAAACACAUAAAGUAUUUAAUUUGAGUAUUUCAGUUUAACUUCAAGAAAUUUUUUAUCUUAAAAUGCUAGAGAGGUAACAAAUUAAUUCAGUCACUCUGACAUUUACAUUUUAGUCUAAAUUGUUUUGAGUUUCUUUUGACUUUUCUAUAUUAAAAGUACAGAAUCCGGGUAAACGGCUGUGAGGGUAGGUUUACUAAUGGAUUGGAACUGGAAAUUUUCAUAAGGAAUUUAUUAGUUUCCUCUCUGUGAAAAGUAUUGCCUAUUGUGAGAAUUAAGUCAGAUAAUGCAUUGAAAACAUUUACUAUCACAGCUAACACACUAGAUACUGGAAAAAUUUAGCUAUUAUUCUCUGUGUUGAAUAUAUAUUUCAUUUUUAUCUUCUUACAAAUAUAACACCAAUAUCUAAUUUUAAAAUGAUGUGUAUACUAUGUGUGUGUGCCUCUCCAUCUGCGAGUGUGCACACAUCACAGCAUGCUUGUAGAGGUCAUAGGACAGUCAUGGGUUGUCAGCCGCCUUCUGCCUUGUUUGAGUGCUAUUUCAUCCAGAUUUCCGUGGGCUCUAGGCAUCAAACUCAGAUCCUCAUGCUUGUAAUGUGAACACCUUACCCAGUGAUUUUCCCCAGCCCCUGAAGAAGUUAUUUAAAAACCAGGAGACAGGCAGCUUCCAUUAUCUUAAUUUCUGAGUCUAUGAGAUUGGUGUGAAUGCAAAAGACUGCGCCAGGGGUCUGGCCUAGGUCCUCUAGCCUCUGUCAGCACUUAGCUCUCUUUCCAGCUGCCCUUAAAGUUAUGCUCAAGAUGGCAUGGCAGACAGUAAGAACUGGAGAGGACCUUGCGAUUCAUCCCAUCAUUUUAUAGAUACCUCGCCCAGUGUCACAGGGAAGCAGAAACAUGACUAGCUCAGAGCUUGCUGCUUAUCCAUCCACUCUGACAAGUGAUCCUGCUCCUGGCUAAUUUAUUAUGAUGUUGCCUACCUCUGCUAUGCCCUAGAUGUCUCAUGAUGUCACACAGGCAGAAGCCCAAACCGGGGCCUACAGCAGGCACUUGACAAUGGCUCCAUCAGUCCUCUGAUGUGCCUAGGUGAACACUGAGCAGUGGAGGUUGGAAACUAACACAAAUUUUUGUCUUUUUUCUUUUGAGACAGGGUCUCCUGUAGCACAGCCUAGCCUGUAACUCUAUGUAGUUAAGGAUGAUCUUCAAUUCCUCAUCAUUCUUCCUCUGAGUCCUGAGUGCUGGGACUUAAGGCUUGUGCCCUAAAUGCCUAGGUCUCUGCCAUGCAUUUAUCUUCUUGUGGUGAGAGUGUCCUCUUACAUCUGUGUACACUAGUGCCUCCCAUGUGGAAGUUUUCUGCUACCUUUGUAGGUGAUCAGGACACACUCAUGGAAUACAAGGGUCAUGUGGAAAUCACUGGCCUCUAGAGAGAAUACCUAGGCUAUGGUGGGGUGCUGCUUACUGGCUUGCUCCUCAUGGCUUUCUCAGCUUUAUUUCUUAUAGAACCCAGGACCAACAAGCAGAGGGGUGGCCCCAUUCACAAUGUGCUGGGCCCUCCCCCAUCAAUCACUAAUUAAGAAAAUGGCCUACAGCUGGAUCUUAUGGAGGCAUUUUCUCAAAUGAGGGUCCCUCCUUUCAGAUGACUCUAGAUUGUGUCAAGUUGACAUAAAACCAGUCAAGACACACACCAUCCACAAGAAGCAUUGUACCCAGAGGUUAAUUUUUAAGGACAGACCCAGUGUUCAAUUAGAACCUGGGACACAGCUCUUGAGAAAAGGAACAUCGCAAAUGGCCCAUCGUGUGAUUGACAAGGGGGGCAGCAGCUGGAUUGCAUCAGUAGUCAGGGCUGUUUUCGGUGACCUUUCUUGGGCUUGAACAUGCACAGCCAAGCUCUGGGGAAAGAGUCAGAAGCAAAUGUAAUGGGAGAGUUGAUUGGAUGUGAACAGUCAAGGUCAAAGGGUCUGCUCACAAAGGGGGACGGUCGUGUCAUUUGCCUGCCACAGAACCGUGUAGACAAACUACAAUGAGUCAGCCACUCGAGGAGUUCUCUGCCCCUGACCAAUUCUGCUCCACUCCACAAAAGUUAGACAGCUUGGUCCCUCUGUUUUUGAAUCACCCCCGUCUGGUUGUGGUGUGAUGGUAGAGGUUCCUGAUGUGCCAUCCCUGGGGCUCAUAUCCAGUGCAAUCAGGGCUUUCCAGCCCUGGAUUUAAAUGGAUCCUUCGGAAGGAAGAGGUUUAUACAAAACUCAGGGUUGUGAGGAGCUAGAUCACAAUGCAGUGUACCGGGAAUCAUUUUACAAAUGCAUCUUAAAAUCAAAGCUUCUUGUAAAGAAAACAAUAGAACUUAGUUCUGCAUUCAACCCUUUCCUCAAAUACUUACAUGGAAACAAUUCACACGAUGUAUCCUUGUCUGUUUACAUUUUCUCCUGAUGACAAUAGAAUGUUUUUCUAGUCCCCAGGUCACCAUCCAUUAUUUGGGGACAGAUUUAUCAUUUAAUAAAACCCUUGGGCAUCUGGAAGACUUGUUUCAAAACUGGAUAAG